GUGGGAACGUGCCCUUUGGUUCGGAACAACCCAGGGAAACUUGGGCUAAUACCGGAUACGCCCUUCGGGGGAAAGAUUCAUCGCCAAAGGAUCGGCCCGCGUCUGAUUAGCUAGUUGGUGGGGUAACGGCCACCAAGGCGACGAUCAGUAGCUGGUCUGAGAGGAUGAUCAGCCACACUGGGACUGAGACACGGCCCAGACUCCUACGGGAGGCAGCAGUGGGGAAUAUUGGACAAUGGGCGCAAGCCUGAUCCAGCCAUGCCGCGUGAGUGAUGAAGGCCCUAGGGUUGUAAAGCUCUUUCGCACGCGACGAUAAUGACGGUAGCGUGAGAAGAAGCCCCGGCUAACUUCGUGCCAGCAGCCGCGG
rnacentral:rRNA from 1 species